CAAAAUAAGGAACCCGUAUUUUAUUUUGGCGGGUCAAUCUGACAGCACCCUUUAAGUUACGGGUCACAGGUGACUCGGAUCUCAAUCGCUGUUGCUGCUGUCCCUGUGGCCAGCUGCUCGUCUCGGCGUCUUCUAAACUUAUAGAAGAAUACGGCUGGAUCGAGGCUUACAAAAAGGACCGAAGGAUUAAAUUGGGUGUUUCCUGUCGACCGCUCGACGGUCAGGUUUUUUCCCACCCCCGGUGUCACGUCAGGAUGGCGAGCUACCGGAUCACCGCAGCUUCGCGGUAGGAUUUAAAUGAACCAAGCUAUUUUUUUCAUUCUGGACCUAUUUGCUCUGGAUCUUGGAAAAAAA